rnacentral:misc_RNA from 1 species
GAUUGUAAUUCAGAGUGGCGGUAGACUCCGGUACCAGUUCCCGGUACGGUCGCGUCCUUUCUUCCUCUUCUUUCUUCGCCGUUCCUUCGCGGAUUCUGUUCGGAAGCUCCUCUCCGUUGAUCGCCGAAAAACGACAGUUACACGGAAGGAGACGCCGUCAAGCGAUCCCGCGUGCCUUUCGUUCUCUGUCACCGUGAAAACUCGUGCUUCGUUGGCGAACACAAUCGGUCGGAGAGGAAUUACCAGUGGCGAACGAACCACCCGCCAGGGAACACACGAAAUCGAUAGUGUCGUGGCAACGACGGUUAAGACUGACCCUGUAGGCUAGUUGCCCUAACGGUCUAACCCUGGAGAGACCCGUUCUUCCGACUAGUAUUCCCAGGGUAGACACGCGUUUCGUGCAGGAACGCUCGUCGAGAUUCGCCGGCAGACUUCGAAUGAUCGAGAGGACACGUGCGUCCAGGAAUCGUCGCGUUAUCCUGCGAUCCUUCGGGAAGUCAAAUUGAAGGGCAACGUGUUGUGCGGACAGUGUCCGGGUGAAGAAAGGACCGAAUUGUGUAUAGGACACUCGCUGGAGCUUUCUCUUCGAGAAAUACUAAGAAGAUGGCCAGGUGGAGUGGGCUUUUGAGAUGGGAAAGAUGUGCCGGAAGUGUCCUGUUGGCGAUACUCGCUGUCUCGAGCGUCAGGACCGAGGAACAGGCUCCAUCUAUCUCGCAGACCGCGGCUAUGAACUACCUGUCCCGAUUUGGCUACCUGCAACCAAUAAAUCCAACGAGCGGUGGAAUUAUAUCUCAAGAAACGCUGUCAAAAGCCAUUAAAGAAUUUCAAGCAUUCGCUGGAUUAAACAUAACAGGAGACUUCGACGAAGAGACAUCUAAACUUAUGGAGUUACCCAGGUGCGGUGUUAAGGACAAAGUUGGACCUGGAUUUGGAAGAUCAAAGCGAUACGCUCUUCAAGGUUCGAGAUGGCGCGUUAAGAAACUGACGUACAAGAUCAGUAAAUAUCCUCGAAAUUUGCCGCAACACAAAGUCGACGCCGAACUGAGCAAAGCUUUCAAAGUAUGGUCGGAUUACACGGAUCUCGUCUUCAUUCAAAAGAAAUCCGGUCAGGUCCACAUCGAGAUUAGAUUCGAAAAAGGCGAACACGGUGACGGAGAUCCUUUCGACGGACCUGGUGGCACUUUGGCACAUGCUUAUUUCCCUGUUUAUGGCGGUGAUGCUCAUUUCGACGAUGCCGAACAAUGGACCAUCGACAGUUUCCGUGGAACGAAUCUCUUUCAAGUAGCCGCUCACGAGUUUGGCCAUUCCCUUGGUUUGAGUCAUAGCGAUAUAAAGUCUGCCCUGAUGGCACCCUUUUACCGUGGCUACGAACCCUACUUCCGAUUGGACGACGACGAUAUUCAGGGUAUACAGGCUCUGUAUGGAAAGAAAUCGGUGAGUACCAGUGGUGUUCCGACUGGACCAAGAUUCGGAACUACCACUGUAGCACCGCCUAGCGAAGAAGACUCGGAACUUUGUACGGAUCCAAAGGUCGACACGAUGUUCAAUUCUGCUGAGGGACACAUGUAUGUGUUCAAAGGUGAACGUUACUGGAGAUUAACCGCGGAUGGCGUAGCAGCGGGUUAUCCUAAACUGAUUUCUCACUCAUGGAAAGGAUUGCCAGGGAACAUAGAUGCUGCGUUCACGUACAAGAAUGGAAAGACAUACUUCUUCAAGGGCUCGAAAUAUUGGAGAUAUGUGGGUAAAAGAAUGGACGGUGAUUACCCAAAGGAAAUCAGUGAAGGUUUCACGGGGAUUCCAGACAACAUCGAUACCGUGACCGUUUGGACUGGGAACGGUAAAAUCUAUUUCUACAAGGGAACCAAAUUCUGGAGGUUCGAUCCCACACAGAAACCACCAGUGAAGAACACUUAUCCUAAAUUGAUCUCGAAUUGGGAAGGCGUUCCUGAUAAUCUUGACGCCUCGAUUGUUUAUCGUGGUUACACUUAUUUCUUCAAGGGAGAUGCUUAUUAUAGAUUCAACGAUAGGAUGUUCGCCGUGGACGAUGCUGACCCAGCGUUCCCGAGGGCGACGGCCUACUGGUGGUUCGGGUGUAGAUCGGCAAGCAAAGGAACAUUAGGUAAUUUCCAAUGGCUGCAUGAGAAUCCUGAAGAUUCAUUAGCGUACACUGGCAUCCUGGAGUCCGUCGGUAGCGACUUUGAUGACGAGGGUGAUAGAAAUGGUGACGUCGGAGACAUCAUUUUAGAUGCAGGCCAAACGGACGAGCAGCUAGUCACGUCGUCCAAUCAGGAUGCGGACUCCGCGGCGGGAAGCGUUUUCGAAUCGUCGAUGUGGUGGCAUCUUCCGUUCAGUUUGAUAACUAUGAUCAUCGCUAAACUCGUUGCCACUACGUAGAAAGCGUUAUUGGAGAUCGAUCCUCAAGCGAUGGGAUCAUCGACGAAAGGAAGUCCAUCAAAAAUAUUUGAAUUGACUUCUCAAACGGGAAAAUUGUGAUUUAAAAUUCCAUGCAUCUUACAGGACAUUCUGUAUAUAUGUAACAUAAACAAGAACAUGUAAAAUAUGUUUAUACAUAAUAUUUUUUAAGUCGCAUGCAAUGUUGUGUCAUCAAACCUUUUACACUGCCUAUUUAUUCUUUUUUCGUACAUCAUGGUUUAUAUACAUAGUAAUGUUAAAGGCACUUACUUUGCACAUUCGUCAUGGAAUUUAAAUUUUAAAAGAACUGACAUAUGUUGCGACAUGACAAAUAGUAAAUAAAAACAAAGAACAGUCAAUUGGUUUCUUGACUGGCAGUAUUAUGAGUAUUAUAGAAUUUUCAUUGUUUCUCAUCUAGAGUAUAAAUAUUUCUCAUAAUGUAAAGAAAUCCAUAGAGUUAUGGAAGUACAUAAGAACCUUAGAGUUUUAUGUUAAUAGUGUAUAGAGUGUUGAGUCUUGAAUGUAUGGAAACAUCUAUAGUACUCAUGGUAAUGAUUUCAGUGAAAAAUACUUAUCUUCCUUCUAAGUGCCUUAGAAUGUUCUCUAAACAUUAUGAAGUGUAGCUCUCGUGCAUAAAUUUGUAUUAAUUUGUUGUUAUUCUUGUUCAUUAAUUAACAGUAACUAGACUUAUUCUACUUAUAAAUAUUUAGCAUAAAAUAUUGUUCUCUGUCUUUCAAAACAAAUUUUGCUUCAGUCUUUCCAAUUCUUUUCAUUUUCUAUCAUAUAAAAAAGUAUAGUAAAUAAUGUUGAUAAUAGGUACAUAUUAAUUUUUAAUGACCAUGUUAUAAAGUGUGAGAUUUACUGUAGUAUACAAAAAAAGAGCAGCUCUCGUUAUUUUGAAAAUAAUAAUUGUUUGUAUUGUGCUUUAAAACCAAAAUGAUGUUAAAAACAAUAACAGUGUACAUAAUAGCACUAUAAUGUGUAUGUAUACUAUACAUUGCAGAUGUUUUUUUAGCAUAUACCUCUUUUUCACACAUUUUUAGAUAUGACAAUGAAAAUAUUUACAAUUUAUAGUGUACAUUCACGUUUACAAAAUCCUAAUGGCAUUACUAUAUGUUUCUUUACAUUCGAAAAAUGUUUCCAUAAUUAUAUUAUAAAUAAUCAAUUAAGUACUUAAGAAUUACCUAGCAUUUAAGUAUGAAGCACAAAAAGCCUUGUACAAUUUUUUAAUACUUGUUAAAUAAAUCGUUUUUUGAAAAAAAGUGUAACACAUGUAAAAACUUUGUAUUUAAAACACAUAGCUCAAAAUUUUUAGUAUACAAAUAUAACAUAUACAUACAUAUUAAGUACUGUGUAAUGUACAAGGCCUUUAUCUGUGUUAUAUUUUCUGUCAGGGUACUAAAAUGAUUCAUAUUGAAACUUGCCACAUUUUGCUAUACCCUGACAUUGUACAGUAUCAA